rnacentral:rRNA from 1 species
GUCGGGAAAUCACUCGCUUAACGAGUGGGCGUCCGGCGAAAACUGUGCGGCUUGGGACCGGAAGAUCCAAGGGGUACGUCCGGGGUAGGAGUGAAAUCCUGUAAUCCUGGACGGACCACCGAUGGCGAAAGCACCUUGGAAGGACGGAUCCGACAGUGAGGGACGAAAGCUAGGGUCUCGAACCGGAUUAGAUACCCGGG